rnacentral:lncRNA from 1 species
AAACUCUUACCAAUUGUUUGAAUCUUAGGAAACAUGAUGAAAAAUUAAAAUACAAAGGAAAUACUGUUUUCUUAUAUCUCAAGUAUUUCGAUAAUUGAAUCCGAAACUAAUAUUGAGAGUUUAAUACAUAUAAAUCUAUUAAAAUAGUUGAGAUCAUUUUUCUUUCUACUUCACCCUUAUGGUGAAUAAAAUGCUUUGGAAUGACCGAAUUUUAAAUGUUUGGCGCAUCCAGGUAGCAAAGUAGACGAACUUUUU